rnacentral:lncRNA from 1 species
ACCUGAAAGACACAUAUGGUGGAAGGAAAUGACCAUGUGUGGCCAACAGGCUACUACAUGAGCUCCCACCUGCCAGGACACAUGCACUCGUGCACGCCCACCCUGGCCCUCACCCACUGCACCCUCAGAACAAAGGCUUGGAAUUAGAGCCACUAGCUGGACUGAGAGAGAAAUGCCAGAAGGAGGGGCAUGGGCCCUGCUGGAGCCAUGUGACCCAGUGGCCACUCCUUGGCUGCUCCCUCUCGUUGGCCAGAACUUAGCAUUUUGGGUCUGAAUUGCCCACAUACCUGUCCCUUAGUUCAGGCUCGGGACCUGAAAUCCUUGUCAGCUCCUGUCCUCCUCGCGUCCCUCAUGUCUCCUGACACAUACCCGUGGGACCCCAGGAGAGGCCUUGGCCCCCUGUGGUGGAGCUGCAGCUGCCAGCUUCACACACACCAUCCAUGACCCUAUAUUAGACCCACAUCCAAGCCCAUGGGUGGCUGCAGAGCCCUGCAGAGCCCUGGCCGGUUUGGGGCAGAGCCUUGUAGUAUGUUGGGCUAAGAAGGGGCUUGUCUGGGAAUGGUUCAUACUUCGCCCUGAGGAACAGGAGUGGACAAUUUCCAACCCUUGCUCAUUCCCCAGAAACCUUGCUACCAUCUCGGUUCACCUCCAGUGCUGGGAUGGGGUGAGCACCAGAGCACUACAGAGGCUGGCACAUGGCCCCUGUGUACCCACUUUGUUGCGCUCCGAGUUGGUCAGGACGGGGUCCUCUGCCGCCAGGGCGAUGCUGCUGGCUGCAAUCACCAGGAGGAUGCACAUCUCAAAGUAGCGCAGGUUCACGAUGUAGUGGCAGGCCCUCCGGAUCCUGCGGGCAGUGGGCAUGGCUGAGCUGGCCCACUCCCCACCACGCCCAUGCCCUUACUCCUCACUCCCACAUACACAUAUUGGCCCCUUCCAGACAGCCAGGCCCUUGCCAAAGGAAGCCGCCAGGGAGAGCAAUUUAAUUUCUCAGCCACCACCCUUGAUUUAAAGCCCCAGUGGAGGAAGGACAAAGAACCAAAAAACAUAAAAAGAGAUCUUGAUUCUAAAAUUCCUGACGAAAGCAGUAAUGAGUUUUCAUGAGCUGAAGAUGAACAUUGAGCUGUGGGGCACCAUGGCUUUGCCUGUCUCACGCUUCUCCUUCUUCUGCUUCUUCUUCUCCACCUCCUCCUCAUCCUCUCUGAUCUCUGCCUCCUUCAAGGGACUGGCUUGGGUGCACACGUCUUUGCAGGGCACACACAUCUGUGCAGGGUACAUACCUGAGCAGAGUGUACACAGCUGAGCGGGGCACACACACCCGGAGGUGGCUCACACCAGCAACGCCAACCUCACAGCACAUGUACAGCACCAAAGCCCGGGUCUCUGCUGGUCUUGGAUGUUUGCAGCACGUCCUUCCACCUCACUGUGGCCAAGCGUUGUCCCAACUCACAUCUCUCUAAACCCACUUCUCCCCCAGGCUUCCUCAUCUCAGUAAAUAGAACCACCCACUCCUAAGUGACAGCCAGUCCUACCCAUCCACAUUUUUGGAUACCUGUGUGUAUGUGUUUUUAACCCAAACUCAUGAGUUCAGGGAAGGUGGAGUAGAAAUUACUCAAGGCCCAGAGAAUAUUCCAGAGAGGAAUAUUCCCUAUCAAUCUUUGGCAUUUCCCUAUCAACCUUUAACGAUUUGGAAGGGAAUUUUUCUCUUUCACUCACAGAAGAGGGAUCCAGGGGCCAGGCAUUUGUUACGAAAGGCAAAGGCAACAUGAUGGCCGUGCAGGAGGGAGGUCCCCCGCUUCAACACACAACCCUGGCACACCCCACAAGGCAAGGAAGAGGCUGCCUGGGAGCCCUUCACUGGAACUCUAGCCAACCAAGGGCUCUUCCCUUACUAGCUUCAAGUAACAAUGACAGGGUCAUUGCCAGGAUAGACUUCUACCCCCUUGGGGGUCUCGGACCCUCCCACAGAUGCCCCAGCACCACUCACCACUCACACAGUCCUCAUGCAGGCCCCGAUGCAACAACAGGAGUUAUGUGGUUCUAUGGUCACUUCCCAGCCUCUUCUCCAACACCCCUCUGUGUCACCACGCAGAGACCAGGCCACGCAGGGCCCAGGCCGACUACCUGUAGCUCUACCACAGGUCCAGGCUAGAUCCCUGAAGCAGUGGACUCACCACUCUCCUUUAUCACAUCCUGUUCUCUCCCUAGUCCACUUCAACUGGG